rnacentral:rRNA from 1 species
CCUACGUGAGGCAGCAGUGGGGAAUAUUGCGCAAUGGGCGAAAGCCUGACGCAGCGACGCCGCGUGAGGGCUGAAGGUCUUCGGAUCGUAAACCUCUGUCAGCAGGGAAGAAAGGUCACUGUGCUAAUCAGCAGUGCAUUGACGGUACCGGCAAAGGAAGCACCGGCUAACUCCGUGCCAGCAGCCUCGGUAAUACGGAGGGUGCGAUCGUUAAUCGGAAUUACUGGUCGAAAAGCGCUCGUAGGCGGUAUGUCAAGUCAAGUGUGAAAUCCCCGCGCUCAACGUGGGAACUGACUUUGAAACUGGCAGACUGGAGUGUGUGAGAGGAUAGUGGAAGUCCAGGUGGAGGAGUGAAAUCCGUAGAGAUCUGGAGGAACAUCAGUGGCGAAGGCGACUAUCUGGCACAUAACUGACGCUGAGGAGCGAAAGCGUGGGUAGCAAACAGGAUUAGAUACCCUAGUAGUC